rnacentral:misc_RNA from 1 species
GCUCAGUUUCACGAACAACAGAAAAACUCAUCGCCGGUAAGUAGAAACAGUAAAAAUGAGGUUCUGGGCAUUAGUUUUUGGGCCUUUGGUCUCCACACUAGGGGCGUUGGCUGAGCAACGUGGAAGCCAAGCAGGAGGAGCUCUAUGUCCGAAUUGGCUGUGUUGUAGCAAAUUCGGCUGCUGUGGUAACGCUGUUGAAUAUUUGCUCCAGUGGAUGCCAGAGCCAAUAGGACCUCCGGUGGGUCUCCUUCCACACCGUCGACUCCGACCCCUAGUGGAGGUGGCGACAUUAGUUCACUCAUCAGCCGGGACCUGUUUAAUCAAAUGUUGAAGCAUCGUAACGAUGGUAAUUGUCCUGGAAAGGGCUUUUACCCCUACGAUGCCUUCAUCGCUGCGGCAAAGUCAUUUGGUGGAUUUGACACAACUGGCGAUAGUGACACUCGUAAAAGAGGGAUUGCUGCUUUUUUGGCCCAAAUUUCACAUGAAACUACAGGUUUAAUUAAGCCAACUCUCAAAUUUCUUUCAAAUCGUCCAUAUAUGUGCUAAUUAUUUAAAAACAACCAUCACAACACAGUGUAUCAGGAUUUGGAAGUACUUUUCUUAACAUACUGUUGUGAGGAUUUGAAUCCUGUCGUGAUCAUAAACUUCUGGUAAUUCUAGUUAUAUGAUAUGAAUGAAUUGAAAUUGACUGCAUUUGUUAUAUUUGAAGGAGGUUGGAGUAGUGCGCCAGAUGGUCCCUAUGCUUGAGGUUUUUGCUUUAUACAGGAACAAGGCAAUCCAGGAGAUUAUUGCGUUCAAAGUCAAGAAUGGCCAUGUGCCCCUAGUAAGAAGUAUUAUGGCCGAGGUCCCAUCCAAAUUUCUUACAACUACAACUACGGUCCAGCAGGAAAGGCCAUAAACCAUGACUUGCUAAACAACCCGGAUGCUGUGGCAACCGACCCGACCAUAUCCUUCAAGACUGCUCUCUGGUUCUGGAUGACACCACAGUCACCAAAACCAUCGUGCCACGAUGUCAUCACAGGCCAAUGGAAGCCAUCUCCAGCUGACACGCAAGCGGGUCGGGUCCCAGGAUACGGUGUCAUUACCAACAUCAUCAAUGGUGGCAUCGAAUGCGGGAAAGGGUCGAACCCACAAAUGGAGGAUCGGAUCGGGUUCUAUAAAAGAUAUUGUGACUUGCUGGAAGUGGGUUAUGGCGAUAACCUGGACUGCUAUAACCAAAGGCCUUUUGCGUAGUUAGGCAUCACCAAUAUUAAUUAAUAGAGUUAUUAGCUCCUUAUGAAGAGCCUCUUUAUAAAGUGAUGCAAUUUUAGCACACAGCUAUAAUAAAAUCAUGAAUGUGGCGUAAUUCAGACUCUCAGUGUAU